rnacentral:rRNA from 1 species
UACGUAGGGUGCAAGCGUUAAUCGGAAUUACUGGGCGUAAAGCGUGCGCAGGCGGUUAUGUAAGGCAGUUGUGAAAUCCCCGGGCUCAACCUGGGAACUGCAUCUGUGACUGCAUAGCUAGAGUACGGUAGAGGGGGAUGGAAUUCCGCGUGUAGCAGUGAAAUGCGUAGAUAUGUGGAGGAACACCGAUGGCGAAGGCAGCCCCCUGGGUUAACACUGACGCUCAUGCACGAAAGCGUGGGGAGCAAACAGG